CAAAGGAGCAAUCCGCUGAAAGAUGGGCUCGCGUCCGAUUAGGUAGUUGGCGGGGUAACGGCCCACCAAGCCGACGAUCGGUAGCCGGACUGAGAGGUUGAACGGCCACAUUGGGACUGAGACACGGCCCAGACUCCUACGGGAGGCAGCAGUGAGGGAUAUUGGUCAAUGGGGGAAACCCUGAACCAGCAACGCCGCGUGAGGGAAGACGGUUUUCGGAUUGUAAACCUCUGUCCUCUGUGAAGAUGAUGACGGUAGCAGAGGAGGAAGCUCCGGCUAACUACGUGCCAGCAGCCGCGGUAAUACGUAGGGAGCAAGCGUUGUCCGGAUUUACUGGGUGUAAAGGGUGCGUAGGCGGCUUUGCAAGUCAGAAGUGAAAUCUAUGGGCUUAACCCAUAAACUGCUUUUGAAACUGCAGGGCUUGAGUGAAGUAGAGGUAGGCGGAAUUCCCGGUGUAGCGGUGAAAUGCGUAGAGAUCGGGAGGAACACCAGUGGCGAAGGCGGCCUACUGGGCUUUAACUGACGCUGAGGCACGAAAGCGUGGGUAGCAAACAGGAUUAGAUACCCUGGUAGUCCACGCU
rnacentral:rRNA from 1 species